UACGUAGGGUGCGAGCGUUAAUCGGAAUUACUGGGCGUAAAGCGUGCGCAGGCGGUUUUGUAAGCCAGGGGUGAAAUCCCCGGGCUCAACCUGGGAAUGGCAUUUGGGACUGCAAGGCUGGAGUGCGGCAGAGGAGACUGGAAUUCCUGGUGUAGCAGUGAAAUGCGCAGAUAUCGGGAGGAACACCGGUGGCGAAGGCGGUUCUCUGGGCCUGACCUGACGCUGAGGAGCGAAAGCGUGGGGAGCGAACAGG
rnacentral:rRNA from 1 species